rnacentral:rRNA from 1 species
GACGAACGCUGGCGGCGUGCUUAACACAUGCAAGUCGAACGGAAGGGCCCUGCUUUUGUGGGGUGCUCGAGUGGCGAACGGGUGAGUAACACGUGAGUAACCUGCCCUUGACUUUGGGAUAACUUCAGGAAACUGGGGCUAAUACCGGAUAGGAGCUCCUGCUGCAUGGUGGGGGUUGGAAAGUUUCGGCGGUUGGGGAUGGACUCGCGGCUUAUCAGCUUGUUGGUGGGGUAGUGGCUUACCAAGGCUUUGACGGGUAGCCGGCCUGAGAGGGUGACCGGCCACAUUGGGACUGAGAUACGGCCCAGACUCCUACGGGAGGCAGCAGUGGGGAAUAUUGCACAAUGGGCGGAAGCCUGAUGCAGCAACGCCGCGUGCGGGAUGAGGGCCUUCGGGUUGUAAACCGCUUUCGCCUGUGACGAAGCGUGAGUGACGGUAAUGGGUAAAGAAGCACCGGCUAACUACGUG